rnacentral:rRNA from 1 species
UAAUACGUAGGGUGCGAGCGUUGUCCGGAAUUACUGGGCGUAAAGAGCUCGUAGGUGGUUUGUCGCGUUGUUCGUGAAAACUCACAGCUUAACUGUGGGCGUGCGGGCGAUACGGGCAGACUGGAGUACUGCAGGGGAGACUGGAAUUCCUGGUGUAGCGGUGGAAUGCGCAGAUAUCAGGAGGAACACCGGUGGCGAAGGCGGGUCUCUGGGCAGUAACUGACGCUGAGGAGCGAAAGCGUGGGGAGCGAACAGGAUUAGAUACCCUGGUAGUCCACGCCGUAAACGGUGGGUACUAGGUGUGGGUUUCCUUCCUUGGGAUCCGUGCCGUAGCUAACGCAUUAAGUACCCCGCCUGGGGAGUACGGCCGCAAGGCUAAA